UGCCUUUUAGACUCAUGAGGGACAAGUCUU
rnacentral:piRNA from 1 species